UGGAAGACGUGCCUACAAAAGAUAACGUGAAUUCUUGGUUGGGAACUGUAGCCUUAUUGCUUCCUGAUGUGUGGCAUCACACUUCUUUUUCCUUUGAAAUUCCCUAAUUUCUUGUUGCAUCCACUGACCCUCAACGAGACUAGACUACGUGAUUUCUUGAAAGUCACUGCUCCGCUGAAAUAUUUCUAUGGAGAUUAGUGAUAAUGAUGCUAAUGUAACUACUCCAUCAAAAGGCUUAAAUGAUCACGUGUACACAUUACAAGGAUGGGUUCCCAAGUGUGAUCAACAACUCAAGCCUGUAGUUGGCAACGUGUUUGAUACUUUAGAAGAGGGCAACAACUUUUAUACAACGUAUGCACUUGAAGUUGGUUUCAAUAUAUGCAGAUCAAUUGAAGUGAAAUAUAAGGAUGCGGAAAUAAAGUUUAAAUAUUAUGUUUGCUCAAGACAAGGCUUCAAAGAAGAAAAUAGAAGGACUAGAAGUGUGAUGCUUGUUGAUGAAAAAAGAAUGCCAAAAACCAGACGGAGAAAAGAAACAAGGGAAGAGUGUAAUGCAAAGAUUGUUUUCAAGAGGACAACAGUAGAAAAUAUAAAGUUUUUCGAUUUUAUGAAGGUCAUAAACAUGCAUUAGCCACACCUACAAAGAAGCAAUUUCUUAAAUCUGCAAGAAAUGUAAACAAUGUUCAUAAGAAUUUAUUGCUUUGCUUUGAUAAAGCUAAUGUAGUGCCUUCAAAAGCUUGUCAGAUAAUGAAUAGCAAGGUGGGAGUUAUGACAAUAUAUGAUGCAUAAAAAAGGAUCUCUAGAAUUAUUCUACGUGUUUGAAAGGCCUGAUUAAAGACUGAUGCCCAUAUGUUGGUUGUUAAUUUCAAGAGAAAUUAUGAGAUGAAUUCAUUUUA